rnacentral:misc_RNA from 1 species
GGAGCGUGUAAGUGUGUGCGUGUGUGUGUAUGUGUGCAGUGAAGUGCAAAAGAAACACGAUAAAAAAAAAAAACAACACGCCAAGCAGUUGCGCCCGUUUUAGCUGAUAAAGCGUAUAGAAAAAAAGUACAACAACAACAACAACACACAAAGCAGUAGGCACGAAACGAGUGAAAAUAGAAAAUUAAUAAUUAGCUAGAAGAAGCAGCAGCAGCAUUCACACAGGCGAUUUGUAAGUGAUCAGUGCUAAAAAAAAAAAAAGAAAAAAAACGUAAAUGAAAAAUUAAAAUAACAAAUCGUGCAACUUUUCCCAUAAAUAGUGCAAAUCAAAAUUCUCGGUGCAGCGGCCAAAUUUGUAUCGAUCGCACACAGCAACAAAAACACAUACAAAUACAACUACAGCUACAACUACAAAUACAAUAACAAAAGCAACAACAAUAACAAAUCGCACAUCAGAUUUUCAAACUGCAACUGUUGGCGCCUCAAGCGCCGUUAUUUAAUACCGCAAAUCCGUCAAAAUGUCAACAAUGGAGGUGCGCAACAACUCGGCCAUGAUGAAGCGUGCCGAGCAGCUGAAGCGCUGGGAGGAGUCGGACACAAAUCGCGCCGCCCCCACGCCUCGUCGCGAGGACUGUCGCAGCAUCAAGUUUAGCUCCGGCUGCGUUUUUCUCGCCGCCUGCCUCUCCGGCGACAAGGAGGAGGUCGUCCAGCUGCUCAAUCAGGGCGCCGACAUUAACACGGCCAAUGUUGAUGGCCUCACCGCUUUGCAUCAGGCCUGCAUCGAUGACAAACUCGACAUGGUUGAGUUUUUAAUAGAGCACGGCGCCGAUAUCAAUCGGCAAGACAACGAGGGCUGGACGCCGCUGCAUGCAACCGCCUCCUGCGGCUUUGUCAGCAUAGCAUGCUAUCUGGUGGAGCACAACGCCGAUGUGGCUGCCGUGAACAGCGAUGGCGAUCUGGCGCUGGACUUGGCUAUCGAUGUGCAGCACAUGCCCAUGAUUAACUAUAUGGAAAAGGUGGUGCAGGAGCUGAAUAUUGAUGUGGAUCAGGCACGUAGGGCCGAGGAGCAGGCCAUGCUGAAAGAUGCCAAGCGCAGCGAUGCGGCCGAAGUGGAUCAGCCGCAUCCAAAAACUGGUGCAACGGCGUUGCAUGUGGCCGCCGCCAAGGGCUAUACGAAAGUGCUACGUCUAUUGCUGGCCCGUGACUGCAAUGUUGAUAGGCAGGAUAACGAUGGCUGGACACCAUUGCAUGCUGCCGCACACUGGGGCCAAAAGGAGACAGCUGAAAUGCUGGUGGAGGCCCUGGCCGAUAUGGAUAUACCCAAUUAUGCUGGCCAAUCCUGCAUCGAUGUGGCCGAUCGCAAAAUGGUCAAAUUCCUUGAAGAGCUGCGCGCCAAUAAGCGCAACAAACGGCGUCCAUCUAGUCAAAUCAGCAGAAUCUCAGAUGCGAUUGAAAAUCAUGUGGACAAAACACGAAUGAAACUCGUACGCGUCGAAGUGAGAACUGAUGCCGCUAAGGAUGCUGAAAAUGUUAAACCCAAUCAGCAUAUACAUGCUGGCGAGCAUUCUGCCGAGGAGGAGGCGCCCUGGCGACGCAAAACUCUGCGCACGCCCAACGACAGUCCCACUAAGAAUCAAGUUCCUGACAAAGAGCUGAGCGGCAAAAGCGCUAAUGAGAGCGCAAACGAUGUCAUCUUGCGGCGCACGCAAAGCUUUGAGAAUGAUCAAAAAUUCUAUCAAAAGUACAAUGAGCUGCGGGCACGCAUAAAGGCGAACUCAUGUCCCAUACUGCCAGCGACGACGGCAAAUGCUCUGCCCGGCAAUGCAAAUAACAACAAUAACCAAAGUAGCAAUAACAACAAUAAUAACAAUAACAACAACAACAAUAACAAUAAGAGCGCGCUGCUGUUGGGAAAAACUGUGAGCACAACCAGCGUCAGCAGCAGCAGCGGCAGCAGCAGCAACAACUACAACAACACAACAACCACCACAACAACAACAACUACAUUCAACACACACACCAACAACACAACAACAACUGCAACAGCAGCAGCUACUACAGCAAAUCCAAGUCAAAUUUAUAGCGUACAAAGAUCGGCCUCCCUCAAAGAUAACUCAGUAUAUUUCAGGAAACCAAUCGCUCCAGCUACGAUGCUGACAGCAGCGACAACAACGACUACAACAACAACAACGACGCUCAGCUCACCAUCAACAACUGUGCUCACCCCACCUAUACGCAGCAAUCCUGCCAACAACAACAACAAUGCCAGCUCUAUGGCGAGCGCCAGUGCAAGCGAUGCGGAGACCCAACCAAAACCCAAGCAAUCGGCGGGCAAUAUAUUCAAGAACUUUUUCAAAUCCUUUGUGCCGCCAGUGCGCGACGAGGAGAGCGAAACGCAGCGCAAGGCGCACGCGAAACGAGUCCGUGAGACGCGUCGCUCCACGCAGGGCGUUACGCUCGAGGAGAUCAAGAGUGCCGAGGAGCUGGUCAAGAAGAAGAACUUGGGCAUGAACAACAACAACAACAAUAACAACAACAACAGCAGCAGCUUCAAGCUGGAGGACAUCACCAGCGGUGGCACCUACCCGCCCAAUCAGAGCACAAUCAUACCCAGCGCACCGGCCGUGAUGGCCGCGGUUAAUUUGGCCAGCACAACGGGCAACCCGCGUCGCAUAAGCAGUGGACCCAAUGCGCUUAACGCUUCCAAUCAAUCGCUCAACUCGGUGGGUCGUCCGGUCUCAGCACCCAGCGAGAGCAGCAAUAACAGCGCAUAUGUGACGCCGCCGGCGCGUAGAUACGAGACAUCCACGCUGGGGACAGCUGCCUCGACAACAGCCACAACAACUGCCACGACAGCCACCAACUCCGCGUCUGCAUCCAGUGCCAACCAUGGAACGGCGACUAGCUCCACGCCCGGCCAUGAUGAUAAGGAUAACGACAAGGAGAACGAUAAUCGUACACAGACUGUUAUUCAGCGACGUCGCAAGCCCAAGCGCAGAUCCACGGGCGUGGUGCAUAUCGAUAUGGAUGAAAUUGAUCCGGAACGCCAACACGAAACGGCCAACAAUGACAAUGAGGAUAAGGAUAAGGAGAGCGGCAGUGAACGCACCUCACGCUCUCGCACCGCGAGCACAGCGACAACGAGCACCGGCAGCGAUUCAAAGAGUUCCAGCAACAACGACAAAGCGGAAAACGGCGAUGGCAUCGACUACAAGGCGCUCUGGGAAGCGGCCAAACUGGAGAACGAUAAGCUCAAGCAAAUGCUCAAGCAGAAGGACGACGAAGCUGUACAGACGCGUGCGACGCUCGAGCGCUUCGCCAAUGCCACCACUAAAAAUUCACUCUCUGAGAUUGAGAAACGUGAAAGAAGAGCUAUGGAACGCAAGCUUUCCGAAUUGGAAGAAGAGCUCAAGCUAUUGCAGAAGCUAAAGACUGAGAACGACCGCCUGCGUGCCGAGAAUCGAGCCCUCACGCGUGUCGUCUCUAAGUUGACCACCUCGGCCCAGAGUCAGCUGGCCAAAAGCAAAUAGGCAACAAUUUACAACAAACAAAAGAAAUAAACAAAAAAAUAAAAAAUAGAAUAUCCUAAAAUAUUGAAAAAACAGCAUAAUCGAAUAUCGUAAUCGUAAUCGUAAUCGCAAACGCAAACCGCUAUCGUAAUCGUAAUCGUAAUCGUUAUCGUUUCUUUAAAUACUCGAGCUGCACACAUAUAUUUACAUACGUACACGCAUACCUAGUUAAAUUCUUAGAUAUCGUACACCCAUCGUCUAGCCUAGAGAUAUUCAGAAACCAUUUUGAUGAACAACUUUAAAGAUUCUUCCACCAUCGAUAUUGUUUAUUAUCAUUAUCAUUAUUAUUAUUAUGAGACAAACAACAACAAGAACAAUUUGCAUUGUUAUAUUGAGCGCAACGUGUAACAAUAAUUAAAUGUACUGUAGUUAAAUUAAGUUUAUAACUUUUGGGGGCAACGAGCACUUAGCAGGCAAAUUUCUAUUUUUGCACCGCUGUACUUUUAGCCCAGAGCAAAAUAAUAUAUGACACAUACACACAUAUUGUAUUGGAGUUAUAUGAAAUAAUACAGAAUAUAACGUUACAAGAUAUAGCACAACAUAUGGCAACUAUAUAUACACACACAUAAGUAUCGUAUACAUACGUUUAAUCAAAAUCAAAAGCUACAUCAAAAAUCGUAAAUCGUAACUCAACGCAACCCAAGGAUUUGCCCAAAUGCUCAACUAUGCUGCCCACGCACUACUUCUACAACAACAACAACAACAAUUGCAGCAAUUCGGUCGUGGCACGAGCACCAAGAUCAUCAUCAGCACAGAUCUAUUAACUUAUUUCUUAUAUGCAGUGAGCUUUACGCAACUUGAUGCCUACAAGUCGGACAAUGACCGCCUGAAGGAGGAGAACGCCGCGUUGAUUAGAGUAAUUAGUAAAUUAAGUAAAUGAAA